rnacentral:rRNA from 1 species
CCUACGGGAGGCAGCAGUGGGGGAUAUUGCACAAUGGGGGAAACCCUGAUGCAGCGACGCCGCGUGUGGGAAGACGGUCCUCUGGAUUGUAAACCACUGGCCCCAGGGACGAAGAUGACGGUACCGGGGGAGGAAGCGCCGGCUAACUACGUGCCAGCAGCCGCGGUAAGACGUAGGGAGCGAGCGUUGUCCGGAAUUACUGGGGGUAAAGGGAGCGUAGACGGCGAGGCAAGUCGGAAGUGAAAGGCGGGGGCCCAACCCCCGGACUGCUUUGGAAACUGUAUGGCUGGAGUGCAGGAGAGGUCAGUGGACUUCCUCGUGUAGCGGUGAAAUGCGUAGAUAUUAGGAGGACCACCAGUGGCGAAGGCGGCUUACUGGACUGUACCUGACGUUGCGGCUCGAACGCGUGGGGAGCAAACAGGAUUAGAUCCCCGAGUAGUC